UUUUAGCUCUGUCUUUUCUUCCUCUCGCUCCUUUCACUCCCUCAAACGACUGCCUCCUCAACUGCGGCUCUUCCUCCAACGCCACCUUCUUCAACCACUUCUUCAUCGGAGAUUUCAAUUCCGGGUCGGGUUUUGUCUCCACAGGCCGGUCUAUUUCAGUCACCAACAACAAAAUCCCACCUCCAAACUCACCCUCUCCUUACCACACAGCAAGAGUUCUCACCACUGCUUCAAGCUAUAGCUUAAGCAUUAGGAAAAUUGGAACUCACUUGUCAUUCGUCAAGGAGCGGUUCAAAUCGGAUUGGGCUUUG